UACGGAAGGGGGCUAGCGUUGCUCGGGAAUCACUGGGCGUAAAGGGUGCGUAGGCGGGUCUUAAGUCAGGGGUGAAAUCCUGGAGCUCAACUCCAGAACUGCCUUUGAUACUGAGGAUCUUGAGUUCGGGAGAGGUGAGUGGAACUGCGAGUGUAGAGGUGAAAUUCGUAGAUAUUCGCAAGAACACCAGUGGCGAAGGCGGCUCACUGGCCCGAUACUGACGGCUGAGGCACGAAAGCUAGGGGAGCAAACAGG
rnacentral:rRNA from 1 species